GUAAGCAACAUAAUUGAGAGUAAUUUAAUUGCAAGGCAUUAUUAUGGUGUGUAAUUUAUAUUAUAUUCGGGUUGUGUGGAUGAGCUUCUGUCACUGAGGUAUGUAUGAUAAAUUUAUCAGCCGCGCUUAACUAAACAUCUAGAAACCAUUCUAAUAUUCAAAAGUAGUUUAAACUCUACCGCCGUCGCGUUUCUAAGCACCAAGGAUCCCUUGCAAUAUGCUAUGAUACAUCUUGGGCCACAGGUUGUGCGCCAUCUACUUCUACGAUGGAUUGUGCACACUCGUAGGCUGGGGUGUAUCAUAGCAUAUUAGAAGAGGUCCUUGGUGAUUGGAAACUCGGUGCCAGUAGAAAUUUAAAGAGACUUUUGGCCCAGUAUUUAUCUGAAAUACCUGAUGGCCGGGGUGUAUUUUGGGUAUUAGAAUAUUUCCUUGAUACUCAGGCUAGCAGCGACCAAAGGAUUUAACCUGCCUCAGGGCACAGCAGCUCAUGUACACAACCCGUGGACCGGGAUGUAUUAUAGCAUAUUAGAAUGGGGAUUUGGUGCUUAGAAACGCGUCGGCGGUAGAUUCGAACAACAUAGUAUUAUGUUGUGUUUAUAAAAUGAUCAUUAAUUAAUAUAAAAAUAUUUUCCUGUAAAAUGACACUCAUUAAUUUACCUACAUGACAUAUAUAGGAUAUGAACAAUACCGAUUUGUCAAACCAUCAUUUUAAAGGGAAUUAAAAUAUUCAAUUGUA
rnacentral:lncRNA from 1 species